AUAGAUAAGGAGUUGCUUCUUAUGGUUGAGCAAAGAAAGUAGUUUCUUGACAUGAAAUCUGCUGAUGAAGAUGCUGUGAACACUGGUGAAAUGGCAACAAAGGAUUUUAGAAUAUUCCAUAAACUAAGCAGCAAGGUUUGAGAUGAUUGACUCCAAUUUUGAAAGAAGUUCUGUGGGUAAUAUGCUAUCAAACAACGUUGCAUGCUACAGAGAAAUCUUUCAUAAAAGAGUCAAUUCAUGCAGUAAACUUCAUUGUUGUUCUAUUUUAA
rnacentral:lncRNA from 10 species